GUAGCAAAACCUUUUAUAAUUACAUGCAUUAAUAACAAGUUCAGAAUGAAAUAGAUGUACUAUGUUAUAAUAGAUGAUAAAAACUGAAGGUGAACAUUUAUAUUAUACACAAAAUUACAAUAUUUCAUGAAGGAAAGAUCAAUACAAUUUUCCUCAUGAAUGUCAACUCUGUGUUCAAUGUCGAAUAAUCAGAUCAUUGAGCUCAAGGAAGCAUACAAAUAUAAUUCUGCGUGAAGGAUGGGAGCAGAGAUCCUGGGUCGUCACUAGUUAACACAGCCACAAAGUCAUCAUUAUGGCUAAACCCCCGGCCAUUUCUACAAUGUAUCUUCUUACAAUCAAUCUAACCCUAACUGUAACCUUAAUCGUAACCACACUGCGAACCCUACGCCUAACUAUAACCUUAAAUUAAGACCAAAAAGCAAAUUUAUGUAGACAAUUUUGACUUUGUGGCUGUGAAUCUGACUUUGUGGCUGUAUUGUCUAGUGGAAACCGAGAUCCUGGGAGAAAGGUCGACUCGUGACGUCAUGAUUAUCUGUCAAGUGAAGGUCACGAGGGCAUCGAAAGGUGAGGUAACACAGAAGUAAAGAAGAGGUUGUUAUUUCAUUUGUUUUUAGAUGAAGGGAGGUCAUUGGCGCCGCCAUGUCUGAAGAUGGGUGCUCUUUCAAGUCAAGUCCUAUUUUCUCAGCAGUCAAAUAUAGAGCUCUCGACUAUUCUUCUGAGGCUUCUACUAGUCUCAAAUUGACCAUGAACUGGCUGGCCCUGCCGAUGCCCUACCAUCUGGGUAGCAGUGACCUCUACCCCCACACUGGUAACCCCCCUGAGGUCACCUACAGGAAACCAUGGAGCAGAGGUAUGUUGAGUUACUCUUUUUAAUGAGUUAUCUACCCGACUACCCAGCAGUUGGCCCUAUUCCAAGGUUUUUCAAUGUAAAUGCUUCAAUUAUAUAUGGGCCAACAUAGAUUUGUAUGAUUAUGAUUAUCUAUAGGAAUUAGUCUAAACAUUUACAUUAUUGCAUCAGCAGUGGUUAGAUAAGAACUCAUAGACAAGUUUUUCCUAUUCCUUGUUUUGACAGGGAAUGUGAUUUCCAACUGCAAACUGUUUGUCAGUGGAUCUGUACUAGAUGACUUGGGCAUUAAAGG